rnacentral:rRNA from 1 species
AUGAACGCUGGCGGCGUGCCUAAUACCUGCAAGUCGCGCGAACAGAUGAGCAGCUUGCUCCUCUGACGUUAGCGGCGGACGGGUGAGUAACACGUGGAUAACCUACCUAUAAGACUGGGAUAACUUCGGGAAACCGGAGCUAAUACCGGAUAAUAUAUUGAACCGCAUGGUUCAAUAGUGAAAGACGGUUUUGCUGUCACUUAUAGAUGGAUCCGCGCCGCAUUAGCUAGUUGGUAAGGUAACGGCUUACCAAGGCAACGAUGCGUAGCCGACCUGAGAGGGUGAUCGGCCACACUGGAACUGAGACACGGUCCAGACUCCUACGGGAGGCAGCAGUAGGGAAUCUUCCGCAAUGGGCGAAAGCCUGACGGAGCAACGCCGCGUGAGUGAUGAAGGUCUUCGGAUCGUAAAACUCUGUUAUUAGGGAAGAACAAAUGUGUAAGUAACUAUGCACGUCUUGACGGUACCUAAUCAGAAAGCCACGGCUAACUACGUG